rnacentral:rRNA from 1 species
GACGAACGCUGACGGCGUGCUUAACACAUGCAAGUCGAACGGUGAAGCGCCUUCCUUUUUGGUGGGUGUGGAUGAGUGGCGAACGGGUGAGUAACACGUGAGUAACCUGCCCCCUUCUUCUGGAUAACCGCAUGAAAGUGUGGCUAAUACGGGAUAUUCUGGGUCUGUCGCAUGAUGGGUCUGGGAAAGAUAUUGUUUCGGUGGGGGAUGGGCUCGCGGCCUAUCAGCUUGUUGGUGGGGUGAUGGCCUACCAAGGCGGUGACGGGUAGCCGGCCUGAGAGGGUGGACGGUCACACUGGGACUGAGACACGGACCAGACUCCGACGGGAGGCAGCAGUGGGGAAUAUUGCACAAUGGGCGCAAGCAUGAUGCAGCGACGCCGCGGGAGGGAUGGAGGCCGUCGGGUUGUGAACCUCUUUCGCCAGUGAAGCAGGCCUGCCUCGUUUGUGGGUGGGUUGACGGUAGCUGGAUAAGAAGCGCCGGCUAACUACGUG